rnacentral:rRNA from 1 species
GUAGGUGGCAAGCGUUGUCCGGAAUUAUUGGGCGUAAAGCGCGCGCAGGCGGUUCUUUAAGUCUGAUGUGAAAGCCCACGGCUCAACCGUGGAGGGUCAUUGGAAACUGGAGAACUUGAGUACAGAAGAGAAAAGCGGAAUUUCACGUGUAGCGGUGAAAUGCGUAGAGAUGUGGAGGAACACCAGUGGCGAAGGCGGCUUUCUGGUCUGUAACUGACGCUGAGGCGCGAAAGCGUGGGGGGAGCAAACAGGACUAGAUACCCUGGUAGUCCACGCCGUAAACGAUGAGUGCUAAGUGUUAGGGGGUUUCCGCCCCUUAGUGCUGCAGCUAACGCAUUAAGCACUCCGCCUGGGGAGUACGGCCGCAAGGCUG